rnacentral:rRNA from 1 species
UUACGGUCGGCCUACCAGGCUAUGACGGGUAGCCGGCCUGAGAGGGUGUACGGCCACACCGGGACUGAGACACGGCCCGGACUCCUACGGGAGGCAGCAGUGAGGAAUCUUGCACAAUGGGCGAAAGCCUGAUGCAGCGAUGCCGCGUGAGGGAUGAAGGCCUUCGGGUCGUAAACCUCUUUCGACAGGGAAGAAGCCCGGGGUCACCCGGGUGACGGUACCUGUAGAAGAAGCCCCGGCUAACUACGUGCCAGCAGCCGCGGCCGA